rnacentral:rRNA from 1 species
AACGAACGCUGGCGGCAGGCCUAACACAUGCAAGUCGAGCGAGGACUUCGGUUCUAGCGGCGGACGGGUGAGUAACGCGUGGGAAUGUGCCCUUCUCUACGGAAUAGCCCUGGGAAACUGGGAGUAAUACCGUAUACGCCCUAUUGGGGAAAGAUUUAUCGGAGAAGGAUCAGCCCGCGUUGGAUUAGGUAGUUGGUGGGGUAAUGGCCUACCAAGCCGACGAUCCAUAGCUGGUUUGAGAGGAUGAUCAGCCACACUGGGACUGAGACACGGCCCAGACUCCUACGGGAGGCAGCAGUGGGGAAUCUUAGACAAUGGGGGCAACCCUGAUCUAGCCAUGCCGCGUGAGUGAUGAAGGCCUUAGGGUUGUAAAGCUCUUUCAGCUGGGAAGAUAAUGAUGGUACCAGCAGAAGAAGCCCCGGCUAACUCCGUG